AAGUCGUAACGAGGUUUCCGUAGGUGAACCUGCGGAAGGAUCAUUAAUGAAUUUAGGAGGUUUGCUGUGNCGUCUUCACGGAAUUGUGCACGCUUACCUCUAUAAUCCUUAUCAACACCUGUGCACCUUUCUAGGGAGAACGAUAGGUUUCACGACCUAUCAUGACCUCUAUAUACACACUCUUUAUGUCAAUGAAUGUUACUUGGCCGAAAGGCUAGAAUUAUAAACAACUUUUAACAACGGAUCUCUUGGCUCUCGCAUCGAUGAAGAACGCAGCGAAAUGCGAUAAGUAAUGUGAAUUGCAGAAUUCAGUGAAUCAUCGAAUCUUUGAACGCACCUUGCGCUCCCUGGUAUUCCGGGGAGCACGCCUGUUCGAGUGUUAUGAAACUAUCAAGAAAAAUUGGCUUUAUUGUUGAUUUUGAUUGGAUUUGAACUUUGAUGUUGAUCUAGGUAGAGGGUUACUCCUCUGCUCUGUAAUACGACUAGUUUUAAAAGUAUAAGCAGGCUCUGGUUUUUUAAUUACCAUGGUUCUACUCAGCGUGAUAAUUAUCUAUCGUUGAGGACACUUUUAUUAGUGGCCAUGGUCCCAAGAGUUGCUCUCUAAUCUCUGUGAUCAGUUGCAAAACUGAUUUCAUUCAUAUCUGACCUCGAAUCAGGUGGGACUACCCGCUGAACUUAAGCAUAUCAAUAAGCGGAGGAAAAGAAACUAACAAGGAUUCCCCUAGUAACGGCGAGUGAAGCGGGAUGAGCUCAAAUUUAAAAUCUGGCAGUCUUUGAUUGUCCGAGUUGUAAUCUAGAGAAGUGUUUUCCGCGCUGGACCAUGUACAAGUUUCCUGGAACGGAACGUCAUAGAGGGUGAGAAUCCCGUCCUUGACAUGGACUCCCAGUGCUAUGUGAUACACUCUCAACGAGUCGAGUUGUUUGGGAAUGCAGCUCAAAAUGGGAGGUAAAUUCCUUCUAAAGCUAAAUAUUGGCGAGAGACCGAUAGCGAACAAGUACCGUGAGGGAAAGAUGAAAAGCACUUUGGAAAGAGAGUUAAACAGUACGUGAAAUUGUUAAAAGGGAAACGAUUGAAGUCAGUCGCGUUUGCUUGGACUCAGCCUUACCUCGGUUUGGUGCAUUUCCUUGUGAACGGGCCAGCGUCAAUGUUGUCCGUUGGAAAAGGGUUAGAGGAAUGUGGCUCCCUCGGGAGUGUUAUAGCCUCUGGUCGUAUACAACGGCUGAUAUUGAGUGGUACAGCAUGCUUCGGCGGUGCUUGUGCUGGCAUAAUGGCUUUAAACGACC
rnacentral:rRNA from 1 species